rnacentral:tRNA from 1 species
GCAUUGGUAGUUCAGUGGUAGAAUUCUCGCCCUCGUGCGGGAGACCAGGGUUCGAUUCCCGGCCAGUGCA